GGGUGUGUGGGGUACUGGUGUCCCCUGCGGUCUUCAAAACCGAUGGUGACGCACCUGUGCGUCAGGCGGGUUCGAUUCCCGUGCACCUCCG
rnacentral:tRNA from 1 species